rnacentral:sRNA from 1 species
AGUAACCAUGCCGAAGACAGUAGGUGUCGGAAACGACGUAAGCAUAGCGCCUACCGAGGAGAAUGAGAUUCAUAAUAUUAUGAUUUUAUCCCCUUCUGUCUACGGCAGGAGGGUUUUUAUUUCU